AAGCCCCCCUCAAGAUGAGAUUUCCCAAUUCGUAAGACCCCUGGUAGACGACCAGGUUGAUAGGUUCGGGGUGGAAGCGCCGUAAGGCGUGCAGCUGACGAAUACUAAUCGGUCGAGGGCUUAUCCUAAUCACCCCA
rnacentral:rRNA from 1 species